UCCUACAAAGUUACGCAGAGGGAUGGAAAGAAGGGACCUGGGAAGAGAAAGUGGACGAGCGGCCGUGUAUCGAUCAGCUCCUGUACUCCCAGGACAAGCACGAGUACUACAGAGGAUGGUUUUGGGGUUAUGAGGAGACCAGGGGUCUAAACGUCUCCUGUCUGUCCGUCCAGGGCUCAGCCUCCAUCGUGGCCCCCCUGCUUCUGAGAAACACAUCAGCCCGGUCCGUGAUGUUAGACAGAGCGGAGAACCUACUUCACGACCACUAUGGAGGGAAAGAAUACUGGGACCUUUGAAAGGUGGGACUAUUCUCUGCAGCGGGUCUUUUCCGUUGGCGUUGAUUUCUGCGUUGAUGGGGUGACUUUCCAUAGCCACCCCUGGUUCUGUGAGUGACUGGGAGCAGAGGGCGGGAAGCGGCUGCCCCCUCCCGUGGACACAGCAGGCCUGCUGAUGUGUUCACCAGGGCAGCAGCUUGUAAAGCCGGAACCUGCCUGCAGGAGACACAGUCUCUGCUCACGUGGGGCUUUGUACAGGUCAGUCCCGCCCCGUUUGGCAAAGCAGGAUGUGCUAACCGCAUAAGCUAGAAGUCGAGUUGGGGAGACUGAGGGGAAGGAGCUGCACACAGUUGUGCCAGCCAGGGGCAACGGCCAGCUGAGCCCAGCGUGUGCCACAACUUCCCACGGUGGGGACUGGCAGAGCCGGCAGGGGUGGGCGGCUUGCCCUGUGUUGGCUUCAUGCAGGAGACCCUCCGAGAGCCUCCACCGUGGAUGGCGCUGCUUCUCAGGCAACCGCUGAUGAGGGACGUGUCUGAGGGGCUUCUUCCAGCUGCGGGGACCCGUCGCAGCAUGGUGUUUGCCAGGCACCUGCGGGAGGUGGGAGACGAGUUCAGGAGCAGACACCUCAACUCCACGGACGACACAGACAGGAUCCCCUUCCAGGAGGACUGGACGAAGAUGAAGGUAAAGCUGGGCUCAGCGCUAGGGGGCCCCUACCUGGGAGUCCACCUGAGAAGAAAAGAUUUUAUCUGGGGUCACAGAGAGGAUGUGCCCAGUCUGGAAGGGGCCGUGAGGAAGAUCCGCAGCCUCAUGAAGACCCACCGGCUGGACAAGGUGUUUGUGGCCACAGAUGCCGUCAGAAAGGAAUAUGAAGAGCUAAAAAAGCUGUUACCCGAGAUGGUGAGGUUUGAGCCCACGUGGGAGGAGCUGGAGCUCUACAAGGACGGAGGCGUUGCGAUUAUUGACCAGUGGAUCUGCUCACAUGCCAGUUCAUGAAGUGCCGCUGGAGAGCCAGAGACGAACUGUGUAGGAGCCAGAGGAAUGGGCAGGCUGCUGACCCGAGGUCUGGAGAAACCCCUGGAGAAGGGUGUCCCCACCAGCCCAUACAGCGUGUGUGUGGAGGGGGCCUUGACCUGUUUUUUAUCGGCACCUCAGUCUCAACAUUUUCUUUUCGGAUUCAUGAGGAAAGAGAAAUCCUGGGGUUGGACCCCAAGACGACGUACAACAGGUUCUGCGGAGACCAAGAGAAGGCGUGUGAGCAGCCCACCCACUGGAAGAUCACCUACUGAGGAGGCUUCUCCGGGGCCGCUCCCCAGACCCGACUGGAGCAGGUGGAUACAGGUUCUGUCACCAUGGAGUCACCGUCUACUGCCAGCCAGGAGCUGGGCGGACAGGUCCGUCCCUCGCAGGGUCCCAGGCCCAGAAGAGGCCCCACCACGCCUCUAGAGGUGCCACGCGUCUAGAGUUGUGCUCCGUCCUCGGCGUUUCCAGCCGCCAUGGCUGAUGAAGAGGCUCCGCUGCCCUUGGGGGCAGUUGUGUUUUCAGGCAGCGUCUGUGAACCCACAGCUCAGUUGCCAGCAGGGCCCGCGUGGUGACCCAGAAGCAGGAGUGUUUGUCAGGCUCCGGCUCUGGCCUUCCCAGCCACCUUUCAUGUCUUCAUAUUUUAAGCGCAUUGAGGAUAGAUGCAGGUGGGUGAGCUACCCUCCAUCAGGUGGACACGGGCUGACAUUUCCCUGGGAGCUGGUGCAAGGAGAAGCGUCAUUUUAAAUGUCUGCAGAGUGACCAGGGGCCUCAUGAAUCCCUCCAUUGCCCUCCAUGCAGCAGGAGGCUGCCUGUGUGUUUCCUCCUGGGAUGCACGCAAGGCAGACCUGGUGCUGCAAAGGGAAGGGCCUGAGGCCUCAGGGAGCCCGGUGGAGGGAUGACAGUUCAGGCCCUACUGUCGGCACAUCAGAGUGCUGGGAAGUUUUUCAGUGACGUCUCUGGGGCACUCAGUGGAUUGUCUGUAGGAAACUUGCAGCUCUGCUCCUCACAGCAGGCCCAGCUGGCUGCCCCACCCCGCCCCACCCUUGCCUCGACUGCCCCGCCCUCGCCCCAGCUGCCCCGCCCUCACCCUGGCUGGCAGGUGCAUGUGGGGCUUCCGGGUCUACCAUUCGCUAUUGAGAACUAGAAAUGAGGAAGGACAGUCACACCAACUCCAAAAGGCUGUCUAGGAUGAGCUGCUUUAUCAGGGAGCUCCUUGUACCCAUUUUACAGAAAUCACUUUUAGGUCUUUGUGCCACCACCACGAGGGCCAUCUGCAAAGAGGGCAAUGCCGGACACAGAAUCCGUGGAAGGUGCAGCAGUGCCUCAGGGGUCCUCAGGGUCAGGGAGCCCCCCCUCGCCCUCUUGGCCCAUUACCCUUUGUGACUUCCCACCAUGGUGUCGUGUGACCCUCAGUCAGGCUGGUGGGGGCUGAGUCCUCACUGAGCAGCCACUUUCCACAUCUGCUAGAGGAACAGCGACAUGGACAUUUGUGUGACAGAGAGAGGACAGUUAGUGAGGAGGGACAGACAGCUCUUCCCUUCGGAGCCUGGCUAGUCUAGGACAUCACCUUGCUGUGUCUUCUCCUUCUCAAGCUUUUAGAAUUGACCCUGAACAUGUGACAGGGUCUUAUGGUGUUACUCAAAGCUGUGCAGGGUAAAUGAUGACAUAUUUAUUCUUUCUCCAUUUGUUCUAGAAACAGUGCCUUUUUCAUCAGUUGCAUUUUCCAGGCUGAGAGCUGUAUAAAACAUUUUGGACUGUGACCAUGUACCUUCCUUUUUAAGAAAAAUAAACUGCUUUAUGGUAGUUGGUA
rnacentral:sRNA from 1 species